AUUACUUGGAGAUCUUAAAAUGCAGAUUCUGGUUCAGAAAGUCUGCGGGGCCUGAGAGUCUGCAUUUCUAACAAGCUCUCAGGUGCUG
rnacentral:miRNA from 14 species